ACUUUAAACUGGUGGCUUGUGCUGUGAAGACCUAAUGCUUGGGGGUCUCAAGUUCAUCGGCCAGUCUGCGUGCGUUUAUCCCAAAUACCAAUAUACCGUCAACGGCAUUUCUAUUCAUUAUGGCUACGCAACAUCGAUGUCAUCUCUGGGCUUGCCUGACAACUCGAUCAGGUCGGUGGCGAGAGGCUGCCUCAGCAACACCGUCUACAGGGACCAACUCUAGCAAUUCCAGCAACGGCCGGAAGAAGAUAUCAAAAAGAUCAUACGUCAAGAGAACUGAUAUAUUACACACGCAAAACAUCAGUAAUGUAUCACAUGCAAUGACUUUGAAUUGAAUUAAAACAAAAAUUUUGUUGCUUUAUCACCCUUAAGGAACAGACCCCGAAGAUAUUUGAAGAACUUUUGAGAAACAAUAUUAUUUUUGCUCUGAUCAAGCUCCGCUACGACUGACCAUUGAAGUGCGAGUUUGAUAAGAAAAUAUUCGUUCCAAUCAUUGAACAAAUAUUAAUCUAGAUUAAUAUCCUACUAUGCAGUUAUAUUUCAUUUGGAUUCAUAGUCAUCCAUUUCAAACUGUUAGAAUCACUGAUGUGAUAAGGAGUUUUUAGCAAUUCAGUAUGCAUUAUUAGAAAUUGUGAAUAAAAGUUUCAAAAUAUAAUCCGUAGACUACAUUUAGACGUGUUUUUUUU
rnacentral:lncRNA from 1 species